GCUGGCGGCGUGCUUAACACAUGCAGUCGAACGAACCUUCGGGUUAGUGGCGGACGGGUGAGUAACGCGUGAGAAUCUGCCCUCAGGAGGGGGAUAACGGUUGGAAACGACCGCUAAUACCCCAUAUGCCGAGAGGUGAAAUGAAUUUCGCCUGAGGAUGAGCUCGCGUCUGAUUAGUUAGUUGGUGGGGUAAUGGCCUACCAAGACAUCGAUCAGUAGCUGGUCUGAGAGGAUGAUCAGCCACACUGGGACUGAGACACGGCCCAGACUCCUACGGGAGGCAGCAGUGGGGAAUUUUCCGCAAUGGGCGAAAGCCUGACGGAGCAACGCCGCGUGAGGGAUGAAGGCCUCUGGGCUGUAAACCUCUUUUAUCAAGGAAGAAGAUCUGACGGUACUUGAUGAAUAAGCCACGGCUAAUUCCGUGCCAGCAGCCGCGGUAAUACGGGAGUGGCAAGCGUUAUCCGGAAUUAUUGGGCGUAAAGCGUCCGCAGGCGGUCUGUCAAGUCUGCUGUUAAAGCGUGGAGCUUAACUCCAUUUCGGCAGUGGAAACUGACAGACU
rnacentral:rRNA from 1 species